UACGGAGGGUGCGAGCGUUGUCCGGAAUCACUGGGCGUAAAGGGCGCGUAGGCGGCGCGGUCAGCCAACGGUGAAAGCUUGGGGCUCAACCCCGAGUCGGCCGUCGAUACUCCCGGGCUGGAGCACUGUAGAGGCAGGUGGAAUUCCGGGUGUAGCGGUGGAAUGCGUAGAGAUCCGGAAGAACACCGGUGGCGAAGGCGGCCUGCUGGGCAGUAGCUGACGCUGAGGCGCGACAGCGUGGGGAGCAAACAGG
rnacentral:rRNA from 1 species